GACGAACGCUGGCGGCGUGCUUAAUACAUGCAAGUCGAGCGAGGUUACUGCGACAGAUCCCUUCGGGGUGAAGUUGCUUUAGCCUAGCGGCGGACGGGUGAGUAACGCGUGGGUAACCUACCCUAAAGUUCGGGAUAACAGCGGGAAACCGCUGCUAAUACCGGAUGCCUUUACCAUGUGGCAUCACAAGGUAAAGAAAGGUAACGCUUUAGGAUGGGCCCGCGUCCCAUUAGCUAGUUGGUGAGGUAACAGCUCACCAAGGCGACGAUGGGUAGCCGGCCUGAGAGGGUGGACGGCCACACUGGGACUGAGACACGGCCCAGACUCCUACGGGAGGCAGCAGUAGGGAAUAUUGCGCAAUGGACGGAAGUCUGACGCAGCGACGCCGCGUGAGCGAUGAAGGCCUUCGGGUCGUAAAGCUCUGUCCUUGGGGAAGAAGGUCUUCGGACUUGACGGUACCCAAGAAGAAAGCCCCGGCUAACUACGUGCCAGCAGCCGCGGUAAUACGUAGGGGGCGAGCGUUGUCCGGAAUUACUGGGCGUAAAGGGUGCGUAGGCGGCCCUUUAAGUCAGAUGUGAAAGCCCGCAGCUUAACUGCGGAAUUGCAUUUGAAACUGGAGGGCUUGAGUGUCGGAGAGGGUAGUGGAAUUCCCAGUGUAGCGGUGAAAUGCGUAGAUAUUGGGAGGAACACCAGUGGCGAAGGCGACUGCCUGGACGAUAACUGACGCUGAGGCACGAAAGCUAGGGGAGCAAACAGG
rnacentral:rRNA from 1 species